rnacentral:rRNA from 1 species
ACCUCGAGUUAGCAAGCGAAAGCGCGUAACUCACUGCUCUUUAACAAUUUAUCAGACAAUCUGUGUGGGCACUCAAAGUGACAUGGAUUCUUAAACGUCGAAAGACGCUAAAUAGAAUACCAAGUCUUAUGAGUGAACAUACGUAAUUCAUUACGAAGUUUAAUUCAUGAGCAUCAAACUUAAAUUGAAGAGUUUGAUCAUGGCUCAGAUUGAACGCUGGCGGCAGGCCUAACACAUGCAAGUCGAGCGGUAACACAGGGAGCUUGCUCCUGGGUGACGAGCGGCGGACGGGUGAGUAAUGUCUGGGAAACUGCCCGAUGGAGGGGGAUAACUACUGGAAACGGUAGCUAAUACCGCAUAACGUCUUCGGACCAAAGAGGGGGACCUUCGGGCCUCUUGCCAUCGGAUGUGCCCAGAUGGGAUUAGCUAGUAGGUGGGGUAAUGGCUCACCUAGGCGACGAUCCCUAGCUGGUCUGAGAGGAUGACCAGCCACACUGGAACUGAGACACGGUCCAGACUCCUACGGGAGGCAGCAGUGGGGAAUAUUGCACAAUGGGCGCAAGCCUGAUGCAGCCAUGCCGCGUGUAUGAAGAAGGCCUUCGGGUUGUAAAGUACUUUCAGCGAGGAGGAAGGCGUUGUGGUUAAUAACCGCAGCGAUUGACGUUACUCGCAGAAGAAGCACCGGCUAACUCCGUGCCAGCAGCCGCGGUAAUACGGAGGGUGCAAGCGUUAAUCGGAAUUACUGGGCGUAAAGCGCACGCAGGCGGUCUGUCAAGUCGGAUGUGAAAUCCCCGGGCUCAACCUGGGAACUGCAUUCGAAACUGGCAGGCUAGAGUCUUGUAGAGGGGGGUAGAAUUCCAGGUGUAGCGGUGAAAUGCGUAGAGAUCUGGAGGAAUACCGGUGGCGAAGGCGGCCCCCUGGACAAAGACUGACGCUCAGGUGCGAAAGCGUGGGGAGCAAACAGGAUUAGAUACCCUGGUAGUCCACGCCGUAAACGAUGUCGACUUGGAGGUUGUGCCCUUGAGGCGUGGCUUCCGGAGCUAACGCGUUAAGUCGACCGCCUGGGGAGUACGGCCGCAAGGUUAAAACUCAAAUGAAUUGACGGGGGCCCGCACAAGCGGUGGAGCAUGUGGUUUAAUUCGAUGCAACGCGAAGAACCUUACCUACUCUUGACAUCCAGAGAACUUAGCAGAGAUGCUUUGGUGCCUUCGGGAACUCUGAGACAGGUGCUGCAUGGCUGUCGUCAGCUCGUGUUGUGAAAUGUUGGGUUAAGUCCCGCAACGAGCGCAACCCUUAUCCUUUGUUGCCAGCGGUUCGGCCGGGAACUCAAAGGAGACUGCCAGUGAUAAACUGGAGGAAGGUGGGGAUGACGUCAAGUCAUCAUGGCCCUUACGAGUAGGGCUACACACGUGCUACAAUGGCGCAUACAAAGAGAAGCGACCUCGCGAGAGCAAGCGGACCUCAUAAAGUGCGUCGUAGUCCGGAUUGGAGUCUGCAACUCGACUCCAUGAAGUCGGAAUCGCUAGUAAUCGUAGAUCAGAAUGCUACGGUGAAUACGUUCCCGGGCCUUGUACACACCGCCCGUCACACCAUGGGAGUGGGUUGCAAAAGAAGUAGGUAGCUUAACCUUCGGGAGGGCGCUUACCACUUUGUGAUUCAUGACUGGGGUGAAGUCGUAACAAGGUAACCGUAGGGGAACCUGCGGUUGGAUCACCUCCUUACC